UAGUGUCUGAAGAGCAUUGUCUGCUACAUCCAGCAAGUGGAAGGCAGUCAAGCCGUGGAAGGCAUGGGCAGCGAUGGAGAUGCUCCUGCGGUGCCCACAGCUGCUGCAAACGCUGACGCAGCCCAGCACCGCAGCACGCCCUCCUCUGCUUCCGAAGACCUGGCCCCGAUGUCACAGAACUGGCAGUGGUCCUAGUCUCUUCUACCCUGUGGACUGCUCCUACCUUGACUAGGAGGCCUUGUCGAUGAGUCUUGCAGAGAUGAUGAUGGAAGGCCAGCUCCAAAUUGUAUUGCAGAUGCUCCACUCUCCUCUUCUCUUGGAGCCCAGGACGGUCUGAAGGAAGGGACGGGACCAGAGUGAACACCGGAAACAACAAAGACAGUCGUGUCC
rnacentral:lncRNA from 1 species